ensembl:lncRNA extensin-like
GUAAAUGAUUACAGAAUUUUCAUUUUUGGGUGAACUAUCCUUUAAGUAAAAGUAUUAGGCCAGGGCUGUCCAAACUCGGUCCUGGAGGGCUGGUGUCCUGCAGAGUUUAGCUCCAACCCUAAUUAAACACACCUGAACCAGCUAAUCAAGCCAAGGUCUUGGCUAAGCCUGAGGUACCCCGGGGGUGAAGCAUUCCCACCAUCUCCUCCAGUACAAUAUAAAAUAUUAAAACAAAUAUGAGCAAUGCUGGCUCCAGAACUUUUUUAAAUGACUAAACCUGUCAGGAUUGCAGCUGUGCCCUCGCAUCGUUGCUAUGCGACGAAGCGGCAAUCAGAAACAUCUGGUGGCCAAUUAGGAAAUCCUGUGAAGGUGGAGCGUCUUUUCGAAGUCUGCGCACUUCACUUUGGGUCACAGCUAGUGAAUCUCGCGUAAUAAUCAAACGGAACAAUUGAUUUGCCUUUAAAUCACGCGUUAAUUUAUGGAACUAGUGCUUAAAGCAGCGCGGUACCGCACGGUAUUUAAUAGACGCGUCACAUGCUUCAGGACUCACGAGCAUACGUUACAAUGGCGUCUUGGAAAACAAGGGGAAGGUUGUUAAUUAUAUUAAGUUCUUUCACAUGCAUUACUUUCAUACACUGCAGAAGUCUGCUACCGUUUUCUGGAACAGAAAAAACGAACGAUGAAGGUGGCGACGAUAUAUCAGAACAGUUUAUGUCAGACCACAAUUUUGUGCCUUUAGCUGAUUUUGACCAUCACCGUUACGACGCUGGAGUUUCAGGUCUUCAGAAGAAAUCAUUAAUUAAAGGGCAACUACUCAGUUCUUCUGAAGCAGCCUGGGAUGCCAUGUCUCCAAAGUUGAGGUGUGGCGACGAUCUUAUGAAGUUAAAACUCAGUGGUCCAGAAGUAGCAAAUGUUGAACUCUGUCGAGGUAAUGGGGUGCCUGUUCCUCUCACUCAGUUGCCACCUCACUGUGGACACACCACACUUGCUUAUGGAGGUCUUGUUUAUGCUACUCCCUAUGAUGGAUGUGGUGUUGUGCAACAGGAAGGGUAUUCUGUGAUGCAGAUACAGUGGCAGGGAAACUCGGCAGUCCUUUCUUGUCCUAUGACCUCUACCACUGCAGAUGAAACCUUCCUGGGACCUCAUCCUCCUGAAUAUCUGCAUGUUCUGCUGCCUCCCUUUUCUCCUGAAACACCAAGUCCAGAAGCACCUGUAAUGCCACAAGCGUCUGAUACUGUAACAUUGAAACCAUCACCUCCUUGGUACCCUCAAGUAUAUCCGCAAGGGUUUUGGCCUUUCCCUCAUCUUUAUCCUGGAAGGGUUUAUUCCAUAGCUAAGCAAACAGAGAAACCUGUUACAACUACCCUAGUUGCCAAAGCACCAACUGAAGAGCCUCAACCUCCCAAAUACCCUCAGAUGUCUUGGCCACACUACUACCACCCUGAUUACCUCUAUCAUGGCAGACCAAAACCCACUCUAAAACCUGUUCCAACCGAUGGCUCUAACACUGAAUCUGAUCCCCAAGCACCAACUGAAAAGCCUCAACCUCCCAAAUACCCCCAGAUGUCUUGGCCUUAUUACUAUCCUGGUUACCCUUAUUAUGGCAAACCAAAACCUGCGGAGAAACCAACUGCUAUCCUUACCAACACCUCAGCAGUUGCCCAAGCACCAACAGAGAAGCCUCACCCUCCAAAGUACCCCCAAAUGUCUUGGCCAUAUUACUACCCCCAUGACCCUGUCAGGCCAAAGCCCACAGAGAAACCAGCUUCAGCCACCCCCACUGCUCACCCAUCAGGCUCGCCAGCAACAACCCAGACGCUGCAGCCCCCAGCAUACCCUGGAAGUCUAUUCCCUCAGUAUAGCUAUUACCCUGAUUAUCCUUCCUAUUUGCAAGCGUUUUAUCCACAAUACCCAGUUCAGCCUCCCAAAACUCCUACUGCACCGCCUAUAACCACCACUCCUCAACCCUGUACUACAACUGCAGCUGCUGAAUGCAAACCCUUUGCCAACCAGCCUCCCAAUGUGCCACCCCAGCAGUAUAUACCUCCCAGUUCUGUACUUUAUGAAAAAAACCCUUUCGUGUUUCAAUUUGUGGACUUUUUGGAUCCCAACUCUUUCCCAUGAAGUUUUGUUAUGAGGACUGAGGCCAGAUGCUUAGAAUUACGCUGGUAAUGUGCUGCAUGUGUCUUUGAAAAAGAUUGCCUCCUGAUUUAAUGCUAAUACUGCAGAGUGAUUCCUGCUCAUGAACAUGCUGGUUUGUGCUUAGUUUUGUCCUAAUUGUCUCAAAAAAUUCAAUAAAUCAGAUAUGAUCAAAUGCCCGGGUCUUUUUUUUUUUUUGUUUUUUUUUUUUUCUUCUCUUCUUCUCAGUGCCUGCUGGUAGAGAACACGCCACAGUGGGGAAAUGGUUUGUG